rnacentral:rRNA from 1 species
CCCUACGGGGUGCGGCCGGCCCGAACCCGCGGUGGUGCGGCGAACCUGCGACGGUGGGAUCCUACGUCCCUUUCUCACCGGGAUGGCUUUACAUAACUUGCCUUCAGCUUUUGGAAUAAGGAGCUGGCCACAACCGCCCCCACCCCCCCCGUUACCACUGGCAGCUCUAGUGGUCUCAUUUUUUAUUGGGCCUAAGCCCUCUGUCUCCGGUUCAAUAACUUUCUGGUGAAAUCCUGCACAUUACCUGUGGGAGUUGCUGGACAUACUAUUAGAUUUGAUAUCGGGAGAGGUUAGAGGUACUCCCUCGGGCUAUAGGUGAAAUUCUGAAAUCCUGCGAGGACCGCCUGUUGCAAAGGCGUCUGACUGGAACAAUUCUGACGGAGACGGACGAACGCUAGGGGCUCCAACCGGAUUAGAUACCCGGGUAGUCCUACCUGUAAACGAUGCGUACUUGGUGUUGGGCUGGCUUUUAGCUGUCCCAGUGCCGAAUGGAAGCUGUAAAGUCCUCCGCCUGCGAAGUACCGUCUCAUGACUGAAACUUAAUUGCAUUGGCGGGCGAGCACCACAACGCAUGGACCCUGCGGGUUAAUUGCAGUCAACGUCGGA